CUGGAGCUACCGAGCGCCAAGAGGAGCCUUCGAAGACGAGCACCAGGAUAUGCAGUUCAGUUCAACGCCAGCCGUCUAUCGCGUAGGUUGGGGCCUCUCUCUUGCAUCGAGGCUUUGCUCAAAACCUCUGCCGACCCCGAACGGCGCACCGUACGGUGCGGUACAGUGUGGGCCCAAAGCCGCGUACUUCAGCUCGUUCCAUUCCAGUGUCUCAGGGGCGCAGUCCUCAGGCGAAUCUAUUGCAGGAGCAGCGAAAUCAAAAAGAGGACCUUGUCGCUCAGCAGCUGUUGGAGAGGCGGCCGAAGAAGUGAAGGCGCUGGAAGUACGAUCAACAUCUUCACCAAAAAGACCCACGCACCGAUCGAUUGGGCGUGCAGUGCAGUGCAAAGUCAGUCGGCGAAUUAUGCGAAACAAUCCCGUGCCCCUUGUACCGAGCCCCCGUGGUGCCCUUUGUGAUGAAGUGUGUGCCGUUCCCAAUGGUCCCCAUGCUUGCUCGCGUGAAGUGUUCAAAUAGGAUUAAGUUAGUCUUGCAGUAGUUCAGGAAAGGAAUGCUCCACCAGACACCCAAGCCAGUGAUGAGUGAAAUUGGACUUAAUCGAUCUUGUCGGAAGCUCUCGGUUAAAGUGUGUGCGUCAGUGUGCGUGUUACGUUCCGGUCUUUUCCAGCCAAGCGCUAAAGAGCUUUAGGGGCUGCUUAACGUCACUCGAGGGAGGUUUCUUGUUUGUUGAAUGUUUGCGCAAAAAAUUACUCACCACCAUAAACUCUUCGUCUUGCGUCAAGCGCCAAGCGACCGGUGAGCGCUGUGAUUUUUGGAAAUUCGUGCGUAGCAGUUGACCGAUGUUUGUGAGCCGCCGACAGUGUUUACCACCCAUUCGGACCCAGGCCGUCAGAAGCAGGCAGUGGCAAAGCAAUGCCGCAGGACCCGCGUACGUCUGUAUGCACAGAGGAACGGACGGUGUGAUUUAUUCGCUUCGUUUACGAUACAAGAUGGUGUCGGGUCGGGUGCAGCACAACCAUGGACGUAGCACCAGACGCCAGUGUUGCGCUGAAAUUAAUCCAAACACUUCCCAUCCAAACGGCGCAAGCGAAAAUAAAUAAAAACACACAAAGUGCAACGUAGAUAGAGAAACAAUCCCAACGGGACCGGUAUCGUUUGAAAAUGUCAAAUUUGCACACUGCAAUCUGGGCGAGCAGAAUCUCCCAUUUGCCAUGCAACGCGCUAAAAGCUGUGUAACAAAUGUCAAACUACACGGUUUGCAAUCAAAAUAAGGACAAACGAAACAAGUGUAAUUUUAAAAUUCUUCGUUUCGUGCUUUAGAAUCAUCUUCAUUCGAGAGUCCUCUUCAAACUAGUGCUAGAAUGGACGAAUGAGAUUCUGUCCUACGUCUGUUUGAGUUUAAGUUUGAGUCAUCCAAGAGAAUUCUCUUCAGCAGGUUGCGUCCUUCGGUGAGGAAGAUUAAUUUUACAGACUACUUCGCGAGAUGGGAGACGCCAAAAAAUAUGAUGAUGAAAUACACGAUGAACAGUGAGGGUGAACGUGAGACGUCGUUAUACAGUGGCUCAGUUAAUGUGUGUUCAACAAGAGCACUAUGGUCUUAUCAAGUAUUUCCCAGGAUCAACAAACUCUUACACAAGUAAGCGAUCGACAGCCAUCGCAUCGAACGUGUCUCUUACCAACCACAACCUCAUCCUGCUCCACAACUGUCACAAAUAGUUGGAAAUUAAUUACUACGGAUGAAAAGGAGAACAAAAACACACCACCCGCGUCCUCUCUCCGCUUGUGUCGCACCGACUGCAACCAAAUGGCAAAGUGGUUGAAAUUCCGCCCCGAAGUGUGUGCGCCACCCUCCCGGGAGCGAAAAUGGCUGAAGCAGAAAUGGCUGCGACCGACCGACUUAAAUUAAAUCUCAACAAGCUUCUUGUGCGGCAGCUUCCAGGAGCAAAUGGAAUCGAUCCCUCGGAAGGACUCUUGGAAGGAAGGAAGUCCUGUGAAGCACAAGCACCCCGAAGCUCUGUAGACAUUGAUGCGAAACAACCUUGACGUGAUCGUCGCCUACGCUGUCGUCUGGACGGGCGGUAAUUUUCUUUGGUGCGUAAGAAAUUAAUUAACAUGCAAGUCGAUACCAGCCAAUCGUGGCAGACGCGCAAACACACAGUCAUUGGAAAAGUUUUCCAGCCGCGCCAGGGAGGUAAAUCGAAACGUGAACAGAAAUAGAUCGCAGGGCUAUGGGAUGAAUAUCGAUUGGAAAUCGGGCGAGUUUGUUUUAAUCUCGUUGCGGGACAGUUUUAGACUGCAGCUUUACACACUAAUUAAUGAGUAUUUUUACAGCAGACUGCUGGUAAAUUUUCUCAUUUGGUACCGCCUGAAGGUAUGCAAUCAUAGUGUGUUUUGUGAACGCCUGAAGGUAUACACUUUACUCUAACGGUAGGAUUCGUUUAGUGAAUUAGGAGAAAAAUUAUAAAUAUGAUUUAAUCUAUAAACUAUUGCAUACUUUUAGGCGUUUCUACUGAGCUUCACAAAUGUUGAGUGAACUACAUCCACCCCAUUCUAUCGCAACAAUUCUUACCUAAUAUCUGUCCCAUUCUCCACUACUGCUCCAGCCAUUGCAAACCACAAACAACGUUGAAACUACUGAAUCCAAAUCCAAAUGGCACCCUAGUCUGAAGGGCAAACAAUAUAAUCAGAGGAAUGAUGGAAAUAAAAUGAAAACUUAUGUAACCGAAGUAACGAACGCUAACUUACCAACCAGUGUGCUAGUGCGACCGCUCCCUGGCACCCACUGGUAAACUGCACCAC